GUGUGUGUCAGAGGAGAGUAGAGGAGGAGGAGGAGCGUCCAACAGACACGUCUGAUUAAGCAGUGUGUAAAUGGACCUGCUGGCUGGACCAGAUGAGGGCCGGCAGAUGGUUUUUCCACACCGCAGGCUUUUGCGUGCUGCGCCGCGGCCCUCCAAAAAAGCUUCUCCACCAGCAGCACAGCACAGCCCCCUGCCCCGGCCCCUCUCUCACCGUACACACCAACACCAUUAGCAUGUAAAUGAUAGCAGCGCCCCUUCGCCUCAGCUGUCAUAGGCUGCACCAGACCUCCAGCUUCUCGGUGCAUUAAUGUGAUUUUCCUCAUUGUUGUGGGAUUACGGGGUGGGAGGGUGGGUGAUGGUGUUGUAGGGAGGUGAGGCCGGUGCAAGUCUUGGCAUGGCUGUCCAAGGUUGCAUGUUGCGGAGAUUAACGCCGAUUCUCAUGAAUAAAGAGACAGCGAAGGAGAAGUUCUUCCCUCAAGGACACUUCUGGACUGGAACUCAAAGUUAACAGAAGGACAGAUUCUCUACAUCUUUCUUUUUCCACAAGCAUGGGAAAUCGGAAUGAUGUGCAGCAGCUGGGAAUGCGUCUGUCUGUGCUAAUUGGAGUGUGCAGUGUCAACACAAGGCUGACACUUUGGGGUGAAAGAGGAAGGAGUGCAGAGGAGAACACAGACGAACUGGCAACAGAACUAACGGCGCAGAGGAACAGCAGGUCCCAUACGCCCCAGCCCCCUCAGCUGGCUUUGUUCCUGCAUCUUCUUUGCAACAAUUCAAAAGCAGCUUGCACAAAUUAGACCCAUGGGGAGCGGGAACAGACCAACGUGCAGCACACUACUGUCACUCAGAAGAGUUUCUGCUAUGGAGAGAGGGGACACUGGAUACGCAAGGUGCUCAAGCAGACGAAUUGGCCACGAGGGACCAGAUGUUCCACUGCUGUGUUGCUUCGUCUCACUAAUAAAUGCUCUUGGCAUUGCACUGCA